GAUGAACGCUGGCGGCGUGCCUAAUACAUGCAAGUCGAGCGAACAGAUGAGGAGCUUGCUCCUCUGACGUUAGCGGCGGACGGGUGAGUAACACGUGGAUAACCUACCUAUAAGACUGGGAUAACUUCGGGAAACCGGAGCUAAUACCGGAUAAUAUAUUGAACCGCAUGGUUCAAUAGUGAAAGACGGUUUUGCUGUCACUUAUAGAUGGAUCCGCGCCGCAUUAGCUAGUUGGUAAGGUAACGGCUUACCAAGGCAACGAUGCGUAGCCGACCUGAGAGGGUGAUCGGCCACACUGGAACUGAGACACGGUCCAGACUCCUACGGGCGGCAGCAGUAGGGAAUCUUCCGCAAUGGGCGAAAGCCUGACGGAGCAACGCCGCGUGAGUGAUGAAGGUCUUCGGAUCGUAAAACUCUGUUAUUAGGGAAGAACAAAUGUGUAAGUAACUAUGCACGUCUUGACGGUACCUAAUCAGAAAGCCACGGCUAACUACGUG
rnacentral:rRNA from 1 species